UACGUAGGGGGCUAGCGUUGCUCGGAAUCACUGGGCGUAAAGGGUGCGUAGGCGGGUCUUUAAGUCAGGGGUGAAAUCCUGGAGCUCAACUCCAGAACUGCCUUUGAUACUGAGGAUCUUGAGUUCGGGAGAGGUGAGUGGAACUGCGAGUGUAGAGGUGAAAUUCGUAGAUAUUCGCAAGAACACCAGUGGCGAAGGCGGCUCACUGGCCCGAUACUGACGCUCAUGUGCGAAAGCGUGGGGAGCAAACAGG
rnacentral:rRNA from 1 species